AUUGAACGCUGGCGGCAGGCUUAACACAUGCAAGUCGAGCGGGGUGAUGGUGCUUGCACUAUCACUUAGCGGCGGACGGGUGAGUAAUGCUUAGGAAUCUGCCUAUUAGUGGGGGACAACAUCUCGAAAGGGAUGCUAAUACCGCAUACGUCCUACGGGAGAAAGCAGGGGAUCACUUGUGACCUUGCGCUAAUAGAUGAGCCUAAGUCGGAUUAGCUAGUUGGUGGGGUAAAGGCCUACCAAGGCGACGAUCUGUAGCGGGUCAGAGAGGAUGAUCCGCCACACUGGGACGGAGACACGGCCCAGACUCCGACGGGAGGCAGCAGUGGGGAAUAUUGGACAAUGGGGGGAAACCUGAUCCAGCCAUGCCGCGUGUGUGAAGAAGGCCUUAUGGUUGUAAAGCACUUUAAGCGAGGAGGAGGCUCUUUUGGUUAAUACCCAAGAUGAGUGGACGUUACUCGCAGAAUAAGCACCGGCUAACUCUGUGCCAGCCGCCGCGGUAA
rnacentral:rRNA from 1 species